UGGAACUCUUAAGGCAAAGACUGAGGAAAGGAAGAAAGCCAGUGGAAUGGGCUCAUACUAUCUCCAUGUGCUAUUUCACCGAAAUUCUAAGGCAGAAGCUUUACUGUGAGAACAGUGGUCCAAUUUUGGUUGGGAAGCCACAGGGAUGAGGGUGACUGCUGACACAUGGCAGAGGGACACCAGUGUGGGGAGGAAGAGCCUGCAUUCCACAAGAGCUGAAGACUCCCAUAAAGCAAGUCAUUUAUGCAAUUUUCAGGAGAAAAGAGAAUGAUUUCAGCUAUAAUCUCACCUACUCAGCACACCCUCAACCAGCAAACACAUACUCCUUUUGGCAUUUGGAAGUUCUGGUGUAUCCCUUACUGUCAAAAUGCUAUCAACAUAAUA